AGAGUUUGAUCCUGGCUCAGGAUGCAUUCUGGCGGCGUGCUUAACACAUGCAAGUCGAACGGGAAUUACUUUAUUGAAACUUCGGUCGAUUUAAUUUAAUUCUAGUGGCGGACGGGUGAGUAACACGUGGGUAACCUGCCUUAUACAGGGGGAUAACAGUCAGAAAUGGCUGCUAAUACCGCAUAAGCGCACAGAGCUGCAUGGCUCAGUGUGAAAAACUCCGGUGGUAUAAGAUGGACCCGCGUUGGAUUAGCUUGUUGGUGGGGUAACGGCCCACCAAACCGACGAUCAGUAGCCGGCCUGAGAGGGCGACCGGCCACAUUGGGACUGAGACACGGCCCAAACUCCUACGGGAGGCAGCAGUGGGGAAUAUUGCACAAUGGGGGAAACCCUGAUGCAGCGACGCCGCGUGAGCGAAGAAGUAUUUCGGUAUGUAAAGCUCUAUCAGCAGGGAAGAUAAUGACGGUACCUGACUAAGAAGCCCCGGCUAACUACGUGCCAGCAGCCGCGGUAAUACGUAGGGGGCAAGCGUUAUCCGGAUUUACUGGGUGUAAAGGGAGCGUAGACGGCAAGGCAAGUCUGAUGUGAAAACCCAGGGCUUAACCCUGGGACUGCAUUGGAAACUGUCUGGCUCGAGUGCCGGAGAGGUAAGCGGAAUUCCUAGUGUAGCGGUGAAAUGCGUAGAUAUUAGGAAGAACACCAGUGGCGAAGGCGGCUUACUGGACGGUAACUGACGUUGAGGCUCGAAAGCGUGGGGAGCAAACAGGAUUAGAUACCCUGGUAGUCCACGCCGUAAACGAUG
rnacentral:rRNA from 1 species